rnacentral:rRNA from 1 species
CCUACGGGUGGCAGCAGUGAGGAAUAUUGGUCAAUGGGAGAGAUCCUGAACCAGCCAAGCCGCGUGAGGGAAGACGGCCCUAUGGGUUGUAAACCUCUUUUGUCGGAGAACAAAACCCGGGACGUGUCCCGGACUGCGUGUAUCCGAAGAAAAAGCAUCGGCUAACUCCGUGCCAGCAGCCGCGGUAAUACGGAGGAUCCGAGCGUUAUCCGGAUUUAUUGGGUUUAAAGGGAGCGUAGAUGGGUUGUUAAGUCAGUUGUGAAAGUUUGCGGCUCAACCGUAAAAUUGCAAUUGAUACUGGCAGUCUUGAGUACAGUUGAGGUAGGCGGAAUUCGUGGUGUAGCGGUGAAAUGCUUAGAUAUCACGAAGAACCCCGAUUGCGAAGGCAGCUUACUAAACUGUGACUGACAUUGAUGCUCGAAAGUGUGGGUAUCAAACAGGAUUAGAUACCCGAGUAGUC